GUCUUCUCAUUGAGCUCCUUUCUGUCUGUCGAUGGCAGUUUAUGGAUUCGCACGAGAAGAAGAGGAGAAGUCACAGAACUGUCAUUAUUUUACCUUCUGUCUUUACAGAGGUAUAUUUGGCUGUUCUGUGAGACAUUC
ensembl:snoRNA SNORA75 Small nucleolar RNA SNORA75